GGACAUGGCUCGGACGCGCUGAUCAUGCCUUCGUCCCGCCCCCGCACUCGAACCUCCAGGGAGGAGGGAGAAGGGGGGGAGGGGAGCUCCGAUUUCCGACCUCAGAUCGGACGAGAUUACCCGCUGAAUUUAAGCAUAUCACUAAGCGGAGGAAAAGAAACU
rnacentral:rRNA from 1 species